rnacentral:rRNA from 1 species
ACAUUGGGAAACCGAUGCUAAUACCGGAUGUGCCGAGAGGUGAAAGGCUAGCCGCCUGAAGAAGAGCUCGCGUCUGAUUAGCUAGUUGGUGGUGUAAGGGACUACCAAGGCGACGAUCAGUAGCUGGUCUGAGAGGAUGAUCAGCCACACUGGAACUGAGACACGGUCCAGACUCCUACGGGAGGCAGCAGUGGGGAAUUUUCCGCAAUGGGCGAAAGCCUGACGGAGCAAUACCGCGUGAGGGAGGAAGGCUCUUGGGUUGUAAACCUCUUUUCUCAAGGAAGAAGUUCUGACGGUACUUGAGGAAUCAGCAUCGGCUAACUCCGUGCCAGCAGCCGCGGUAAUACGGAGGAUGCAAGCGUUAUCCGGAAUGAUUGGGCGUAAAGCGUCCGCAGGUGGUUGUGUGUGUCUAUUGUCAAAGCAUCAUGCUUAACAUGAUAAAGGCAGUAGAAACUACACGACUAGAGUGCGUUCGGGGCAGAGGGAAUUCCUGGUGUAGCGGUGAAAUGCGUAGAGAUCAGGAAGAACACCGGUGGCGAAAGCGCUCUGCUAGGCCGCAACUGACACUGAGGGACGAAAGCUAGGGGAGCGAAUGGGAUUAGAUACCC